rnacentral:rRNA from 1 species
CAGCACGCCGCGUGAGGGACGACGGCCUUCGGGUUGUAAACCUCUUUUAGCAGGGAAGAAGCGAAAGUGACGGUACCUGCAGAAAAAGCGCCGGCUAACUACGUGCCAGCAGCCGCGGUAAUACGUAGGGCGCAAGCGUUAUCCGGAAUUAUUGGGCGUAAAGAGCUCGUAGGCGGUUUGUCGCGUCUGCUGUGAAAUCCGGAGGCUCAACCUCCGGCCUGCAGUGGGUACGGGCAGACUAGAGUGCGGUAGGGGAGAUUGGAAUUCCUGGUGUAGCGGUGGAAUGCGCAGAUAUCAGGAGGAACACCGAUGGCGAAGGCAGAUCUCUGGGCCGUAACUGACGCUGAGGAGCGAAAGGGUGGGGAGCAAACAGGCUUAGAUACCCUGGUAGUCCACCCCGUAAACGUUGGGAACUAGUUGUGGGGUCCAUUCCACGGAUUCCGUGACGCAGCUAACGCAUUAAGUUCCCCGCCUGGGGAGUACGGCCGCAAGGCUAAAACUCAAAGGAAUUGACGGGGACCCGCACAAGCGGCGGAGCAUGCGGAUUAAUUCGAUGCAACGCGAAGAACCUUACCAAGGCUUGACAUAUACGAGAACGGGCCAGAAAUGGUCAACUCUUUGGACACUCGUAAACAGGUGGUGCAUGGUUGUCGUCAGCUCGUGUCGUGAGAUGUUGGGUUAAGUCCCGCAACGAGCGCAACCCUCGUUCUAUGUUGCCAGCACGUAAUGAUGGGAACUCAUGGGAUACUGCCGGGGUCAACUCGGA